UGGCUCAGUUUCCUGGGAGGUGGGCUCAGCCUACUCCACCUCCCCUCAGCCCAGACUAGAGUACGUGGGCCAGGAGUCCCCAGGGCAGAGGCAUUUAAGCAGGGAGCCUCACCCGGGCAGUCCUAGCCUCACAUCC